rnacentral:sRNA from 1 species
CUCUUAGGAUAGUUUCUGCUUUCUGGUGUUCCUGUCUUUGGGUCCUCACCUCUGCAUGGUUACUAACGGGUUAUCCGAGCCUAAGCCUCUCACGAAGCGGAAAGUCAAGUUAACAGACUGCCAUAGGCCUGCCAAGUCAGAAUAGGGCUUCCGAAGCAGAAUGUUUGAGCCAAUAGGAAUUGUUUGGAAAACGGGGAUAAAUCUAAAGGAUGGGUAGGAUUUAAGUGGUAAGGGAGGAUAAAGAGGCUAUAACUGUUCUGACAUAGGUGUGGAAGCAAGAAGAAAGCUGUACCUAGAAAAAGAGCGACGUUUGUUUGGCUGAGAAAUAAUCUGUUUAAAGGAUAACGAGAAAGAUGCGUGGAAAACCCCAGCAGCGGAGUGAGACCUUGUCAAAAAAAAAAAGAAAGAAAGAAAAUAGAAGCCAAGAAUGGAGACCCAAAUGACUGUUCAGAGUUUCUUCGUGGGUUGUCUUCUGGCCUCAGAGUAUCCCUUAUCAGAACCUUGGGCCCCUGGGCCCCUUCACUCAGUACUUGGUGGACCACCAUCACACCCUCCUGUGCAAUGGGUAUUGGCUUGCCUGGCUGAUUCAUGUGGGAGAGUCCUUGUAUGCCAUAGUAUUGUGCAAGCAUAAAGGCAUCACAAGUGGUCGGGCUCAGCUACUCUGGUUCCUACAGACUUUCUUCUUCGGGAUAGCGUCUCUCACCAUCUUGAUUGCUUACAAACGGAAGCGCCAAAAACAAACUUGAAGUUGUCUGAAAGCUUGCUCUACACUUUUACAUUCAUCCUCACCUUUUUUUUUGUGGGGUAGAGGAGGUGCAGUAAUUUACUCAGUGAUCUUUCUACUUUCUAGAAACUGUCCUUCAAAGCUCUUUAAGACCC